rnacentral:misc_RNA from 1 species
GAGAUCUUGCAAUUCAAUUUCUGGUGUACGGACCAAACCCAAUUUUAAAAAAUCCCAUACGGUUGAUUUUCUGUUCCUGUUACUGCCAGCAUUUCCCAGUGAGGCGCUGCUGGAAAGUCUAAUUUGAGGCUUGGGACUUGGGUGAGUGUGAAACUGAUUUUGGAUUCUUGGCUUUGAAAUUAUUUUGCUGGUAUUGAAUGCGCUGGUCCUACUUGAUGAGAAUUGGCUUCUACUGCUACUGCUUCUGCUACUGAAACUUG